rnacentral:rRNA from 1 species
AGACCCGAAACCCGGUGAUCUAGCCAUGGGCAGGUUGAAGGUUGGGUAACACUAACUGGAGGACCGAACCGACUAAUGUUGAAAAAUUAGCGGAUGACUUGUGGCUGGGGGUGAAAGGCCAAUCAAACCGGGAGAUAGCUGGUUCUCCCCGAAAGCUAUUUAGGUAGCGCCUCGUGAAUUCAUCUCCGGGGGUAGAGCACUGUUUCGGCAAGGGGGUCAUCCCGACUUACCAACCCGAUGCAAACUGCGAAUACCGGAGAAUGUUAUCACGGGAGACACACGGCGGGUGCUAACGUCCGUCGUGAAGAGGGAAACAACCCAGACCGCCAGCUAAGGUCCCAAAGUCAUGGUUAAGUGGGAAACGAUGUGGGAAGGCCCAGACAGCCAGGAUGUUGGCUUAGAAGCAGCCAUCAUUUAAAGAAAGCGUAAUAGCUCACUGGUCGAGUCGGCCUGCGCGGAAGAUGUAACGGGGCUAAACCAUGCACCGAAGCUGCGGCAGCGACACUGUGUGUUGUUGGGUAGGGGAGCGUUCUGUAAGCCUGUGAAGGUGUGCUGUGAGGCAUGCUGGAGGUAUCAGAAGUGCGAAUGCUGACAUAAGUAACGAUAAAGCGGGUGAAAAGCCCGCUCGCCGGAAGACCAAGGGUUCCUGUCCAACGUUAAUCGGGGCAGGGUGAGUCGACCCCUAAGGCGAGGCCGAAAGGCGUAGUCGAUGGGAAACAGGUUAAUAUUCCUGUACUUGGUGUUACUGCGAAGGGGGGACGGAGAAGGCUAUGUUGGCCGGGCGACGGUUGUCCCGGUUUAAGCGUGUAGGCUGGUUUUCCAGGCAAAUCCGGAAAAUCAAGGCUGAGGCGUGAUGACGAGGCACUACGGUGCUGAAGCAACAAAUGCCCUGCUUCCAGGAAAAGCCUCUAAGCAUCAGGUAACAUCAAAUCGUACCCCAAACCGACACAGGUGGUCAGGUAGAGAAUACCAAGGCGCUUGAGAGAACUCGGGUGAAGGAACUAGGCAAAAUGGUGCCGUAACUUCGGGAGAAGGCACGCUGAUAUGUAGGUGAAGUCCCUCGCGGAUGGAGCUGAAAUCAGUCGAAGAUACCAGCUGGCUGCAACUGUUUAUUAAAAACACAGCACUGUGCAAACACGAAAGUGGACGUAUACGGUGUGACGCCUGCCCGGUGCCGGAAGGUUAAUUGAUGGGGUCAGCGCAAGCGAAGCUCUUGAUCGAAGCCCCGGUAAACGGCGGCCGUAACUAUAACGGUCCUAAGGUAGCGAAAUUCCUUGUCGGGUAAGUUCCGACCUGCACGAAUGGCGUAAUGAUGGCCAGGCUGUCUCCACCCGAGACUCAGUGAAAUUGAACUCGCUGUGAAGAUGCAGUGUACCCGCGGCAAGACGGAAAGACCCCGUGAACCUUUACUAUAGCUUGACACUGAACAUUGAGCCUUGAUGUGUAGGAUAGGUGGGAGGCUUUGAAGUGUAGACGCCAGUCUGCAUGGAGCCGACCUUGAAAUACCACCCUUUAAUGUUUGAUGUUCUAACGUGGACUCGUGAUCCGGGUUGCGGACAGUGUCUGGUGGGUAGUUUGACUGGGGCGGUCUCCUCCUAAAGAGUAACGGAGGAGCACGAAGGUUGGCUAAUCCUGGUCGGACAUCAGGAGGUUAGUGCAAUGGCAUAAGCCAGCUUGACUGCGAGCGUGACGGCGCGAGCAGGUGCGAAAGCAGGUCAUAGUGAUCCGGUGGUUCUGAAUGGAAGGGCCAUCGCUCAACGGAUAAAAGGUACUCCGGGGAUAACAGGCUGAUACCGCCCAAGAGUUCAUAUCGACGGCGGUGUUUGGCACCUCGAUGUCGGCUCAUCACAUCCUGGGGCUGAAGUAGGUCCCAAGGGUAUGGCUGUUCGCCAUUUAAAGUGGUACGCGAGCUGGGUUUAGAACGUCGUGAGACAGUUCGGUCCCUAUCUGCCGUGGGCGCUGGAGAACUGAGGGGGGCUGCUCCUAGUACGAGAGGACCGGAGUGGACGCAUCACUGGUGUUCGGGUUGUCAUGCCAAUGGCACUGCCCGGUAGCUAAAUGCGGAAGAGAUAAGUGCUGAAAGCAUCUAAGCACGAAACUUGCCCCGAGAUGAGUUCUCCCUGACCCUUUAAGGGUCCUGAAGGAACGUUGAAGACGACGACGUUGAUAGGCCGGGUGUGUAAGCGCAGCGAUGCGUUGAGCUAACCGGUACUAAUGAACCGUGAGGCUUAACCUUACAACGCCGAAGGUGUUU